rnacentral:misc_RNA from 1 species
GAUGAAGAACGUAGCGAAAUGCGAUAAGUAAUGUGAAUUGCAGAAUUCAGUGAAUCAUCGAAUCUUUGAACGCACAUUGCGCCCGCCAGUAUUCUGGCGGGCAUGCCUGUUCGAGCGUCAUUUCAACCAUCAAGCCCCAGGCUUGUGUUGGGGACCUGCGGCUGCCGCAGGCCCUGAAAACCAGUGGCGGGCUCGCUGUCACACCGGGCGUAGUAGAUUUUAUCUCGCUCAGGGCGUGCUGCGGGUUCCGGCCGUUAAAAAGCCUUUUUUACCCAAGGUUGACCUCGGAUCAGGUAGGAAGACCCGCUGAACUUAAGCAUAUCAAUAAGGAGGA